ACUAUCAUUUCCUGUCAGCUGUGUCCUCUCAUUUCCUGUGUAUCCUCUAAGAGCUCCACAGAGGGAUUCCUUCACUUUUAAACUUCUCUUCUUAUAUAAGGAAGAGCCCAUGAAUUCCUAAUAGAAUGAAGAGCAAAUAUAAAAGUCAGAUGAGUAAACAGAAUUUUGUCAGAAAAAAGAGAGGGUUACUGAUAAAAAAGGAAAUAGAUUAAACAAGAUUACUAAGCAAUACAGAAUGCCACAUACAUCUGGAAUUUUUAUGAAUGUAGUGGUCACAACACACUGCAAAUGGCUAAGAUGCCUGUCUAGAAAUGGCUUUUAAAGGAGAAAAGAAAAUUAUUUGAUUAAAAGCCCUACCGAAAUCUGCCAAUGGCAAGGAGCUCAUACUACCAACAAAGCAAGAAAAAUUAACUUUCUUUUUAAUGAGAGAUCAAACUGCCUAACUUCCCUUGGUAGCAGUAACAUUAGGUCUGACUAAGUGAAUGCUGGUAGAAGUGCAUCUACCACCGAGGCUGUCACCGUUUCUCCUGAUCCAGGAACCAGAAGCCAGCUCCCUGAAAGGUCAGGAUUUUAAGAGAAAUGCAAAAGUGACACAAACUGAAGUAUUUAGAGGUCGUAUUUGCAACUUGUGGAGUCCCUGGGUUGCAGAAAUAAUUAAGUGCUCAACUACUAGCUGAAACGUUGGUGGUUCGAACCCACCAGAGGUGCCUCGAAGACAGGCCUGGUGAUCUUCUUCUGAAAGGUCGCAGCCUUGAAAACCCCAUGGAACAGUUCUACUCUGCACGCAUGAGAUCUCCAUGAGUUGGAAUUGACUGGACAGCAACUAAUAACAUUUGUAACUUACUCUUAAAUGGUUUGGUGAAAAUUAUAAUGAUAUGUAUGUGAUGAUAUCUAUUUAUCUAUCCACCUAUUAUACAGAUAGAUAUAUAUCUCUAUUAUCUAUUAUCUAUAGAUAGACAUUAUCUAUCAAUACAUAGACAUAUAUCUAUUAUCUAUAGACAGAUAUUAUCUAUAGAUAACUAUCUACAGAUAAUAAAAAUAUUUUUAUUCGAUAAUAGAGAUAUCUAUCUAUAGAUGAUAGAAAGCAAAUGUGGCAAAACGUUAACAAAUGAUGAAUCUAAGUCAAAGGUAUAUGGGUGUUCACUGAACUAUUCUGGCAACUUUUCUGUAGGUUUUGAAUUUGUCAAAAUAAAAAGUUGGAAAUAGAAAAAAAAGUAGAAGACUAGAAAGUAAUGCAAUAACGAAUGGCCUCACCAUACAACUUCUAGCAGAAGAAUACAAAACAUAUUACCAAUUGCACCUUCCCUCCUCAAGUGAUUCUGAAACUGAAUGCAAGUAAAUGACAGGCUAAGAAAAUUCCUCUUUAAAAGAUUUCUAGGAAAAAGCACUUUCUAAGUUAAAAACUUCUGCUUUGGAAGUGUACUUCCAAAUUUCUUAUAUAACAGUCACUGGAAAUACAGAGUAAACCAGACAAGCUUCCUGCUCUUGUGGAGCUUAAAUUCUAGUAGAUGGAAAGUGAUAAUAAACAAACAAUGUCAGGUGGUAAUAAACGCUAAGAAGAAAAAUAAAACAGGGCAGUUGGGGAAGAACUCUCUUAUAAGGUGAUAUUGAGCAGAGACCUGAAAGAGGUGUGAGAUUACACUGUGUAGGUAACUGGGGGAAGAGCAUACGAGGCAAGGGGAACAGCAUGUGCAAAGGCACAGAGGCAGGAUGGUGCUCAGGUCAAGUUAGAGAAAGUACGGGGGGAGCAUAUGAGAUGAGAUCGGAAAUCAUACAGGCCCUCAUCGGGCUUCAAGACUUCUUCAUUGAUCCUGAGAAACUGAUUGCUGCCUCCUACCUUUUCCAUCUAUCCAGCGUCCCCCUUGCUUCAGACAGCGAACUAAGCAGUCGCAUUAUAAUGAAAGGAUCACUGGAAGGAAAUACAGCCAAGUUUGCUCCCUUCAUUGUGCAAGGCCCCGUGCAGGCUUCCCCUUUCUGCUGGUUCCUCCUUGAGUUAUUUCUUCCUCAUACUCCAACACACAUUCCAUCUAACUCCUUUCUCCCUUCCGCUCUCAAUCCUCAUUCAAAGGUCUCAAAAAUUUUCCUUUUGGUUUGAAAGGUUAAAAAAAAAAAAAAAAUCCCAAUCAUAGCUAACAAGCUUGAGUCAUAUUUCUAACAUCCAGUGCCUGUUCUUACAGAAGUCACCAUCCCUUCCCAAAUGUUGUUUUGAAAGGAAAUGAUGCACAACAAAACAUUAUGCCAUUAGCAUAAAAACAUCUUUGCAAAUACCCAGAAGGUGCUUCAAAAAAAGGCUAUAUCUACCUCUAAUCUCCUCUCAUCAAACCUGUUUUUUCAGGUUCUGCCAUUAAGUUCCUUGAAGGCAAGGACCAUCUUGUUCCCUCCUCUAUCCCUAGUGACAAGCUUUCUUGUUAAGCUGGUGGGGAUAUACCAAAAUGUUGACAUACUGUGUCUUUCAGCUCCAUUAACUGUAAAUAUAUUUUAAAGGAUUCAGAUGCAGUCUGAUGCAGGGCACAGCACUUGGCACAUAGUAGGAACUCACCAGGUAUUUGAUGGAUGGAUACAUGGUUAGAUGGAUAACUGCAGAUCAGAUAGGACUUUGGUGGGCUGGCCUGUAAAACCCAUUAUUUAUAAUAUUUAUGACAUUUCUGGGGGAAAAAUACACUUUGAGCUUGGCUCAUAACAAUUCGUUUAUAAACAGAUUUUAGAAUACAAUCUUGUUGCAACUUGUAAUACUCAUAUCUGGGACUGCAGGUAGAUUUUACUCAGAUUGUGAAGGAUUUAGAUUUUGAGAGUAGGGGACAAAUAUUUGCUUUGUAUUAGCUGAGCUGAGUGCAUACAGAUUAAAAAUUUCUAGUAAUCUGGAAAUCAAGAAAAAAAGGUAUUCAUUCAAUAAUAUCCUUUCAAAACAUUUAGGAGCAGCUAUGCACAAGUUUGGGUGACAUGGAGAAUCAAAGAAAAUGAAGAUUUUGCUCAACUUAGUAACUCUAGUGAUAAAUAGAAAUAUAUCCAAUGCUUUAAAUAUAAUUACAUUUACAGAUCUAAUCUCACUGGACUUUAAGGACUAGGAUCCUAAACCUGUAUUACAUAUUGUGUUUGGUUUACCCAUAAAAUUGUUAUAAGUUGUUUAUGUAGAUAAAAAUUACAAAUUUACUAGACAAUUUGGAUAUAUUUUUUUUCAGUUUAAAUACAGCUACACACUCUGAAUUUUAAGAAAAUCUUCGUUUCUGGCAUUUUAUGAGCAAGAGGCUGAAACUUGAACACCAAAGAAACUUUCAACAUUGUACCCAAAUAAAGGCAGUUUAUUACAUUUCUUGAACUUGGUGACCUGUACAGUAUCAAAUCAAUACCAAAAGUACUCAUUUUCAGAGAAGAAACAGAGGCAAUUAAAAAGGGGAAGGAGUUUGAGGAAGACAGAGGGAAAGAAUAUAACAAUAAAUUGGGAGUGGGGGAAAUUUGCUAUGUACAACUAAUUAGUUUUAUUCUCUGAGCUGUUCCUCCUAGCAUUUUCUGGGUCCUUAUAUUUAUCAUCCUCUAAGACUCUUGAGAACCAAAGGUUUGUCUGUUAGAAAUGGUUCUACCAUAGCAUAUCAAUUUACUCUUUGUUUUAGUAACUUUAGACCAAUUUAAAAAAAAUA